ACGAACGCUGGCGGCGUGCUUAACACCUGCAAGUCGAACGGAAAGGCCCUGCUUUUGUGGGGUGCUCGAGUGGCGAACGGGUGAGUAACACGUGAGUAACCUGCUCUUGACUUUGGGAUAACUUCAGGAAACUGGGGCUAAUACCGGAUAGGAGCUCCUGCUGCAUGGUGGGGGUUGGAAAGUUUCGGCGGUUGGGGAUGGACUCGCGGCUUAUCAGCUUGUUGGUGGGGUAGUGGCUUACCAAGGCUUUGACGGGUAGCCGGCCUGAGAGGGUGACCGGCCACAUUGGGACUGAGAUACGGCCCAGACUCCUACGGGAGGCAGCAGUGGGGAAUAUUGCACAAUGGGCGGAAGCCUGAUGCAGCAACGCCGCGUGCGGGAUGACGGCCUUCGGGUUGUAAACCGCUUUCGCCUGUGACGAAGCGUGAGUGACGGUAAUGGGUAAAGAAGCACCGGCUAACUACGUG
rnacentral:rRNA from 1 species